UGGGGAAUAUUGCACAAUGGGCGAAAGCCUGAUGCAGCGACGCCGCGUGAGGGAUGACGGCCUUCGGGUUGUAAACCUCUUUCAGCAGGGACGAAGCGCAAGUGACGGUACCUGCAGAAGAAGCACAGGCUAACUACGUGCCAGCAGCCGUGGUAAUACGUCGGGUGCAAGCGUUGUCCGGAAUUACUGGGCGUAAAGAGUGCGUUGGCGGUUUGUCGCGUCGUUUGUGAAAACCAGCAGCUCAACUGCUGGCUUGCAGGCGAUACGGGCAGACUUGAGUACUGCAGGGGAGACUGGAAUUCCUGGUGUAGCGGUGAAAUGCGCAGAUAUCAGGAGGAACACCGGUGGCGAAGGCGGGUCUCUGGGCAGUAACUGACGCUGGGGAACGAAAGCGUGGGUAGCGAACAGG
rnacentral:rRNA from 1 species